CAAACAGCUUGCUGUUACAUAACUUGCCGAAAAUGGAGACACAAAUCAUUAGAGUUAGGGGCGAAAUCUUGUGUCUCAACAAUAUACACCUAUUCAAUCGUCUGGGGUAAUUUCACAGUAUUCAUCAUCAUCAGCGCCAAAGCAUAUCUUUCUGUUGCUGUAAACACAACUCGUGAAAUCUUAAUUCAGUUGAAACAGUGAUUUCGAUAUAUGCAACCCCGGCCGAAGUUGGAACAGAAAUAGUUGAUUCCUUAAUACCGCAAUUAUCAGCAGCAGCAUCGCUAUUAAUUGCCACUGAAAUACAUGAAGUUACAUCUGGAAGUCAGAGAAUGUGAAAAAGAUCCGAGAACUUUGAGGCCGCAUGGAAGUCACUAUAUAGGUCCAGUAAUUGGUUUUCUGGUGUCCGGCUUCAAAGGGUCUUGAAAGGCCUGAAGACUGCCAUGUGGGGAGUCAUGAUUCUUAAAAGCAACUGACAGGGGUUCUACUAGAACUUACAUAUACAGAUGUAUGCACAUAUAUCUGAACUGGAAUGUCUGUGAAAAUUGUUAUCGUAUGAGUUAUGUUGACAAUGUGCAGGAGCCUAAGUGAGGCGGCAGAGAAAGCUGAUCUUCCUUGUUUUGAGGGCCAGUCUUGGUGAAAUUGAGAUUCCAGGUAUACAAGGUUGUAUUAUUUUUAUCUGAUCUCAUUUCUAGGCCAUUCAAUGUAACUUCCUGCUACUUUUUCUCUCACACAAAUCUCUGUCGAGGCGUGAAUCAUUAAUCUCUUACUACCAAGAGAGGUAUCCGCUAUGCUAAUCCUUGCAGAUAUGACAGAAUGACACCCUUUAUUGGUACCUUUGCUCUUGUCAUUUUGUCUUGCACUUGGUUCUUCCAGAGGUCAUGACUGGGAUUGAGUUACCCAUAACUAUCAGUCAUAUGCUGUCUUUUUUACUUAUUGAGUGAUUCUGUAAUUGUUCUUGGUUUUUGCAGGUUCCAUUUUAUGCUAGCCUUGCAUCACUAAAAAGUGAUUGAAUCUCAGUGCGUCAUAAAUUACUUAAUUGCAAACUAUUUAAUCAGCUUAAUUUCUCUUGCAUAUCGUCAUUUAUAAAAAGGUAAUAAAGUAAGUGUAUAUCUCUUAUGAGUUUUUGAUUUUUUACAAGUCUAACGCAACUGCCAUUCUUUAAUAACUUUGUUGAAGUGCAGGCAUCUGACACUUCAUUCUUAACUCUCAAAGGCAGAAACUGGCGUAAGCGGUACUACAAAAGAAAGCAAUUUGAUUCAUCUGUGUUUAUCUACUUGUUAUAGGUUAUGCAAUAUUUUAAAGAAAUUUUUGUAUCAAAUAUAAACAUGUCAAAGUAUCUGGAAUCAUAAAUAUGUCAGAGGAAUCACAAAGCUUACUUACUAUGUUCUCAUGCAAAGAGCUAAAAUAUGGAUUAACUUUUGGGAUCUCACUCAAUGUAUUUGUUGAAUUUAAAAAAUCUGCACAUAUUCUUGUGUAUUUUUGUGGAUGAAAGUGUUGCAUUCUAAAUAAAAUCAUGCUUGCUGCAAGAGAAAGCUAUAUUGCUGAUAUUAUCCGUGUGUAAAAGGCUGGCACAUUAUCAGCAAAUGGACAAAGAGAGCUAGGUGAGUUAAUGGCGAAGGCUAUGGAGAAUGUUGGCAAAGAAAGAGUUAUCACAGUAGAGGCAAAGGCAUCUAUAGAUAAUUUCUGACGAUAUGGAGUGAAGCAUUGGCAACUCUUAUACCACAUAAGCUCAAGAGUUGUGGAGCCAGUGAAGCUGAGGUUGCGGACAAAUAGAUAGUCACAGAUAUACCGAAUGCCUCAAAUGCAGCUGUUGAUGAAGGAAUCAUCCUUGGUGAUUUCUUAAUUCUGCAGGUCAAAGGAGAUUCUGGACACUCCUUGUCCUGUAUAGCCCUGCAAGGCUGCAACACUGGCGCAAAAUUUUACAUUUGCCUGCCCAACUUUCAACAACUCUUGCUCAUUGUAUUAGUUUUAUGCAAUUCCGUUGUCCAUUUGAUUAUUUGAUGUUUACGGAGGAGUAUAUCUUUUAUAUAGUUCUGUAAUAGAUUUCGUUGAAUAUCGAUAUUUGUAACGA